GUCGCCAGCUCAUGCCGGAAGGUAUUGGGUUAAGUCACACAACGAGCACAACCGUCAUCUUUAGUUGCCAACAUUGAGUUUGGAACCCGAGCAUACUACAUAUGAUAAGCCGGAGGAAGGUGAGGAUGAGGUCA